UCCAUGGGCAGGUUGAAGGUUGGGUAACACUAACUGGAGGACCGAACCGACUAAUGUUGAAAAAUUAGCGGAUGACUUGUGGAUGGGGGUGAAAGGCCAAUCAAACCGGGAGAUAGCUGGUUCUCCCCGAAAGCUAUUUAGGUAGCGCCUCGUGAACUCAUCUUCGGGGGUAGAGCACUGUUUCGACUAGGGGGUCAUCCCGACUUACCAACUCGAUGCAAACUGCGAAUACCGAAGAAUGUUAUCACGGGAGACACACGGCGGGUGCUAACGUCCGUCGUGAAGAGGGAAACAACCCAGACCGCCAGCUAAGGUCCCAAAGUCAUGGU
rnacentral:rRNA from 1 species